UUUAUUUGGGUUGACAGUUAUAAUGGCCCUCCGAAAGAAGCUAUGACUACAAUGCGGCCCGCGAAAAAAACCGGUUUGACACCCCUGCAGGAGACAGUUAUCCACAUAAAAGGAUUUGUUGAUGGUGUACACUGGGAUUACCUUCUGCUUGGCUGUGGUCAGUGAUGUGCUUCUGUAGCGCGAACGUUGCACAGCAGGGGCUGCAAGUCGCUCCAAAGGGAAGCACCUGCCACUCAUACAUAUCAGGUAGUCGGUCCCUCGGCAUGUCCCUCCAAAAGAAUCGCAGUAGUGGUCGGUCUGCUGGAAUGAGCCUCACCUGAUGAAACAUGCUGCGGAUAUCACUGCUAAAGGCAAGUUCUCUAAAGCGUAGUAUCACAGCUAGCAAGGAGGGGGGGGGGGGGGUUGGUGGAGCGAGAGUGGGACCAGGUAGUAGGAGCUGGUUGAGGUUGUGACCCUGGUGCUGAAAUGAGCAGUUUUGCACCACACGAUUCUUUCCAUUAUGUUGGACCAGAUGCUACGGUAUAUACCAACCAGGCUUCUGCGCUGCUCUCUACUUGAUAGGCAUCCGACCACACAACAUAGCCAGUAUCUACAAACUUCUUCAUCUCUUUUUGGUACGCAGCCGCUUGUUCUGGAGAUUUGGCUAAGCGCUUCCUCCUUUGGCUAAACCUGUCAGAUGUUUAUACUUCUGCUGAAGCGAAGCAACCGGAUGUGAAUGCUCUGCUAAAUCCAGUUGCUCUGCGGUGAAGGCAUUCUGAAUCUUGUCAGGGUUGUGAGCUGGAUAAAUCAUGAAGGACACGACCACCCCGGACGGUGGAGAGAGGCAACACCUCUUUACUUCCUUUGAGGCACAACUGAUUGGCAACAGACUGAAGCAGUAUCAUCCGCUCAGAACUAAAAUAAAAUAGCAUACAGUAUGUCUCCAAGGACUUGCUGAUCUUCAACAGCACCUUGCAGUUGUAGACUGGGCGGUCCACAUAGAGGACUUUGUUAGUGGUGCUCACGAGGCAGCUUUCUGCCAACAGCGAGGCUGUUGCUCAGGAAGAUAGUAGCAGACUUACUUGAAGAUUUAGUACGCAUGUUAUCGCGCUUCCUGUUGGAUGACUCCUCUCACUUGGGGAGCGUGACGCUGUCUUCCUAGACUUCUAACUCCUAUUCUAGCCAAUCAUGGGCCACUUGUGUUUGGGUAUUGGUGGCUUCCAACAUGACCGCUGUUGUAUGGGCCUGGAGGUGGUGGAGGAGCAAGCUGUAAGGCAGUCAUUGGGCUCUGGAACUGUUUGUGGAGUUCAGCAUUCUUUUGAUGCAGCUCUUUGAGGGCAGCAUUGAACUCAACAAGAGGGUUGAUCUCCUGUCUCCUGAUGGCUUGCGUCAUGACUUGUCUGGACUCCUGUUCUUGCGCAACAUCCUCAAUGGUCUCCAUGGCAGGUCCUUGGCUAAUCAGCGGUGAUGGGGAUCUACUGGUUGGGCGCUCUGUGGCUGCGUGCUCCGCUUCUGUUACCCUUGCAAGAACUGGUCGUUGGAAACUACUGAAACACCCUGGCCCGCUGAGGUCAUAAUCAGACAUGUAUCUGCCAUCCGACUCGAAGAACCAUUGAAAAAUAUUGUUGGCUUAUGCGCUGGUGUGGUAAUGCAGAACGCUGUGGUGAGUCCGGUUAGGAGAUCCAAAAAAUAGAAGUGGUCGUGGGGUUUUUGAUGUUUAAUGAGAUUGUCAGCCUCAGUACAACUGUGUGUGUGUGUGUGUGUGUGUGUGUGUGUGUAUACGUGUGUGUAAAACAAAUAAUAAUGGGUGUUAAUCUCUGAAUCAUGUAAAUAUCACAAUAUAUACAUGAGAGUUGUACACUCGGACACAGAACCACAAUGAUACCUCUUAAACAUGCUCAAGGACAUUCUGUAUCACUAUACUGGCAGUCAAAGAGGCUGGUAGUUAUACACUCCGACAAUAAACGUGUGGAACUUACUUUCUUUACACACACUCUGAAGUGGGGUAAACUGUACUCGGCUGAACUAUCUUAAACUAUGUGAAAUCCGAAUUCAUAAACUAUCGCCCUUUUCUCUUCCGCUUUUCUAACACAGCGUGGGCUCUUAGCUCUCUAAGUUGCCUUUUCGAUUUAAAUGCACAACACGUGACAGCUUUGUGAAUAUUAAUGCAUUGUUGUAAAUAUUCAUAUUUCUACCAAGAGUAGUUCACAAUGUUUCAUCAUGACAAUCACUUCAAGAAUACAAUUACAUUCCUAUUCAUAAUUAUUCAAAUUUGACAUGUGAAUGGAGCAUAUUUUUUAGUUAAUUAGAACGUAAAUAAAACUACAUACAUUGCACAUUAAUUAACAUGUAUUAAUUUGUAUUAUAUCAUUUGUGCCAUUGGUUGAUCCAUCGCAUGAUGAAACAAAAACACAUUAUCAUUUUAAAGCAAUUUGACCAUGUUACAUUUAUUUAUUUUUUACAGCGGUGAAUUUUAUUGACUAUAUUUUACCCUAUCUAAUUGUGAUUUAUUCUUUUAUUCUGUUAUGUGCAUGGUAGGCCGAUUGAGCCCUCCACAAAUUGCCCAUAAAUGUCAUUGCAAGCGUGAAUGUCAAUCUCAAUGCUUGUCAACGUGUGCCUGCGAUUGGCUGGCAACUGGUUCAGGGUGUCUGUUCCCUGCCAAUCUGCCCAAAAACCGCUGAGGUAGGCUCCAGCGCGCCCACGACCCUCGUGGGGACAAGCAGAUUUGAAAAAUAAAAACAACCGUUGCAGUAAUACAAAGCAAUGGGUGUUUUUAAGAUGUAUAUACAGUCGUAUGCAAAAGUUUGGGCACCCCUGAUCUUUUUCAAGAUUUUCCUUCAUAAAUCAUUGGUUGUUCGGAUCAGCAAUUUCAGUUAAAUAUAUCAUAUAGCAGAUAAAACAGUGAUAUUUGAGAAGUGAAAUGAAGUUUUUAGGAUUUACAGAAAGUUGUUGAGGUAUCCAGCCCCUGCGCAACUUCAACUUUGUCACUGAUUCUUGAACAUUGUUAGCAAAAAUCUGCUAAACUAAUGUAGGCAGGUGCAUAAAUUUGGACACCCCAACAGAAAAAUUCAGUAGCUCCUCCUUUUGCAGAAAUAACAGCCUCUAAACACUUCCUCUAGCUUCCAAUGAGAGUCUGGAUUCUGGUUAAAGGUAUUUUUUACCAUUCUUCCUGACAAAAUAUCUCCAGUUCAGUCAGGUUUGAUGAUUUCCGAGCACGGACAGCCCGCUUUAAAUCACACUACAUAUUUUUAAUAAUAUUCAGGUCUGGGGACCGAGAUGGCCAUUCCAGAACGUUGUACUUGUUCCUCUUACUAGAAUUUGAGCAGUCUUUGGGGUCGUUGUCUUGUUGAGGUAUCCAGCCCCUGCGCAACUUCCACUUUGUCACUGAUUCUUGAA